rnacentral:rRNA from 1 species
CUACGGGAUGCACCAGUGGGGAAUAUUGGACAAUGGGGGAAACCCUGACCCAGCAAUGCCGCGUGUGUGAAGAAGGCCUGCGGGUUGUAAAGCACUUUCGGUUGGGAGGACUGCUUCUAGCACUAAUAUUGUUGGAAGUUGACGUUACCUUCAGAAGAAGCACCGGCUAACUCCGUGCCAGCAGCCGCGGUAAUACGGAGGGUGCAAGCGGUAAUCGGAAUUACUGGGCGUAAAGCGCGCGGAGGCGGCUAGAUCAGUCGGGUGUGAAAGCCCCGGGCUUAACCUGGGAACUGCAUCCGAUACUGUCUAGCUUGAGUACAGGAGAGGAGAGUGGAAUUCCACAUGUAGCGGUGAAAUGCGUAGAUAUGUGGAGGAACACCAAUGGCGAAGGCAGCUCUCUGGCCUGAUACUGACGCUGAGGUGCGAAAGCGUGGGGAGCAAACAGGAUUAGAUACCCCUGUAGUC